AGCUUUGCGGAGUGACAGUAUCAUAGUCAAUGAGGUUUAUCUGAGGCGUGAUUAUUGCUAAUUGAAAUGUAUUUCUUAAAUAAUAAGAUUUGAAAGUUGGAAUGACUCCUUGAUC
rnacentral:snRNA from 1 species